GACGAACGCUGGCGGCGUGCUUAACACAUGCAAGUCGAACGGAAAGGCCCUGCUUUUGUGGGGUGCUCGAGUGGCGAACGGGUGAGUAACACGUGAGUAACCUGCUCUUGACUUUGGGAUAACUUCAGGAAACUGGGGCUAAUCCAGGAUAGGAGCUCCUGUUGCAUGGUGGGGGUUGGAAAGUUUCGGCGGGUGGGGAUGGACUGGCGGCUGAUCAGCUUGUUGGUGGGGUAGUGGCUUAACAAGGCAUUGACGGGUAGCCGGCCUGGGAGGGUGACCGGCCACAAUGGGCCUGAGAGACGGCCCAGACGCCUACGGGAGGCAGCAGGGGGGAAUAUUGCACAAUGGGCGGAAGCCUGAUGCAGCGGCGCCGCGUUCGUGAUGACGGCCUUCGGGUUGUAAACCGCUUUCGCCUGUGACGAAGCGUUAGUGACGGUAAUGGGUAAAGAAGCACCGGCUAACUACGUG
rnacentral:rRNA from 1 species